ACUGAUUCAAGGUGCGAUAUCUUAUCUAAUCAUUUUUCUCUUCUCUCAAGUCUGGUGUUAAACCCAUAUCUAUGAAUUGUAGAUCUCUAUACAUUACUUCUAAAUUAGUUAUGUGUUUAUUAAGAAAAUACAAACUUAUAAUAACAAACACAAGAUUUAAGUACAAUAAAUAUGAAUAAUUGACUGAUAAGGUUUAUCAUAAUGUCAUAACUGGUAAUGGUUUUGAAAGACUGAUAAGAUUACACUGGACUACAGCUAGGCAGCCUCAGAAAGGGAAUCACAUAUGUUUUUAUUCUAUACAUUUUAUUUUGUCUACUUUUCUUAUUUCUGAACAGUAACUUGAGAAUGCCUCUCUUUCUAUUGUCUAAAAAUAAAAACUAAGCUUCAACCUCAUCUAAUAACUAAGCCAUUGUUUCUUGGUUGAUCAGGUGCAAUGUUGACUCUGCUGGAUAUAGAGGGCAGACAUAUUAUGCUAGCUUUGUGCAGCAGCAUGGAAGGAUGAUCAUGGAAACAGUUAUGACUUUAAAGUUUGUGAAGAUGUGAACCCAUUGACUUUUACAAAUGUGAGCAUUAUGAAAACGUUAGAUUC